rnacentral:rRNA from 1 species
CAUACAAGGCAUACGGCUCAGUAACGCGUAGUCAACCUAACCUAUGGACGGGAAUAACCUCGGGAAACUGAGAAUAAUGCCCGAUAGAACAUUAUGCCUGGAAUGGUUUAUGUUCCAAAUGAUUUAUCGCCGUAGGAUGGGACUGCGGCCUAUCAGUUUGUUGGUGAGGUAAUGGCCCACCAAGACUAUUACAGGUACGGGCUCUGAGAGGAGUAGCCCGGAGAUGGGUACUGAGACACGGACCCAGGCCCUAUGGGGCGCAGCAGGCGAGAAAACUUUGCAAUGUGCGAAAGCACGACAAGGUUAAUCCGAGUGGUUUCUGCUAAAGAAACCUUUUGUCAGUCCUAGAAACACUGAUGAAUAAGGGGUGGGCAAGUUCUGGUGUCAGCCGCCGCGGUAAAACCAGCACCUCAAGUGGUCAGGAUGAUUAUUGGGCCUAAAGCAUCCGUAGCCGGCUCUGUAAGUUUUCGGUUAAAUCUGUACGCUCAACGUACAGGCUGCCGGGAAUACUGCAGAGCUAGGGAGUGGGAGAGGUAGACGGUACUCGGUAGGAAGGGGUAAAAUCCUUUGAUCUAUUGAUGACCACCUGUGGCGAAGGCGGUCUACCAGAACACGUCCGACGGUGAGGGAUGAAAGCUGGGGGAGCAAACCGGAUUAGAUACCCGGGUAGUCCCAGCUGUAAACUAUGCGAACUCAGUGAUGCAUUGGCUUGUGGCCAAUGCAGUGCUGCAGGGAAGCCGUUAAGUUUGCCGCCUGGGAAGUACGUACGCAAGUAUGAAACUUAAAGGAAUUGGCGGGGGAGCACCACAAGGGGUGAAGCCUGCGGUUCAAUUGGAGUCAACGCCGGA